rnacentral:rRNA from 1 species
GAUGAACGCUGGCGGCGUGCCUAAUACAUGCAAGUCGAGCGAACAGAUGAGGAGCUUGCUCCUCUGACGUUAGCGGUGGACGGGUGAGUAACACGUGGAUAACCUACCUAUAAGACUGGGAUAACUUCGGGAAACCGGAGCUAAUACCGGAUAAUAUAUUGAACCGCAUGGUUCAAUAGUAAAAGACGGUUUUGCUGUCACUUAUAGAUGGAUCCGCGCCGCAUUAGCUAGUUGGUAAGGUAACGGCUUACCAAGGCAACGAUGCGUAGCCGACCUGAGAGGGUGAUCGGCCACACUGGAACUGAGACACGGUCCAGACUCCUACGGGAGGCAGCAGUAGGGAAUCUUCCGCAAUGGGCGAAAGCCUGACGGAGCAACGCCGCGUGAGUGAUGAAGGUCUUCGGAUCGUAAAACUCUGUUAUUAGGGAAGAACAAAUGUGUAAGUAACUAUGCACGUCUUGACGGUACCUAAUCAGAAAGCCACGGCUAACUACGUG